CAGGCAUAUAGAUGAAUUCUCACUCUAGGUCACCGUAACACAGGCAUAUAGAUGAAUUCUCACUCUAGGUCACCGUAACACAGGCAUAUAGAUGAAUUCUCACUCUAGGUCACCCGUAACACAGGCAUAUAGAUGAAUUCUCACUCUAGGUCACCGUAACACAGGCAUAUAGAUGAAUUCUCACUCUAGGUCACCGUAACACAGGCAUAUAGAUGAAUUCUCACUCUAGGUCACCGUAACACAGGCAUAUAGAUGAAUUCUCACUCUAGGUCACCCGUAACACAGGCAUAUAGAUGAAUUCUCACUCUAGGUCACCGUAACACAGGCAUAUAGAUGAAUUCUCACUCUAGGUCACCGUAACACAGGCAUAUAGAUGAAUUCUCACUCUAGGUCACCCGUAACACAGGCAUAUAGAUGAAUUCUCACUCUAGGUCACCGUAACACAGGCAUAUAGAUGAAUUCUCACUCUAGGUCACCGUAACACAGGCAUAUAGAUGAAUUCUCACUCUAGGUCACCCAUAACACAGGCAUAUAGAUGAAUUCUCACUCUAGGUCACCCGUAACACAGGCAUAUAGAUGAAUUCUCACUCUAGGUCACCCGUAACACAGGCAUAUAGAUGAAUUCUCACUCUAGGUCACCGUAACACAGGCAUAUAGAUGAAUUCUCACUCUAGGUCACCGUAACACAGGCAUAUAGAUGAAUUCUCACUCUAGGUCACCGUAACACAGGCAUAUAGAUGAAUUCUCACUCUAGGUCACCGUAACACAGGCAUAUAGAUGAAUUCUCACUCUAGGUCACCGUAACACAGGCAUAUAGAUGAAUUCUCACUCUAGGUCACCGUAACACAGGCAUAUAGAUGAAUUCUCACUCUAGGUCACCGUAACACAGGCAUAUAGAUGAAUUCUCACUCUAGGUCACCCGUAACACAGGCAUAUAGAUGAAUUCUCACUCUAGGUCACCGUAACACAGGCAUAUAGAUGAAUUCUCACUCUAGGUCACCGUAACACAGGCAUAUAGAUGAAUUCUCACUCUAGGUCACCGUAACACAGGCAUAUAGAUGAAUUCU